UUGUUAGAAAAAAUCAGAGACGUGUAUGAAAUCAGAAGCAUAAUAUUGAAAUAUGGACACGUACCUCUUCAUCAAUCAUCAACAUCUCAAGGCCGAGAAGGAUGUCUUCUUUGGAAUUAUUGCGAGCUUCACAGAAAUGGAUUUGCUUAAAAAGCUACUGGGAAUCUCCAGGUCCUGGUGAAACCUUACUGAAGAAAAGUGGAGAAAGAGCUUGGGUGGUGGUGACUGCUGUUUGAUUUGCCAUAAAGUUAGGAAUGGAUUUGAGGAUCUGUGUAAUAGAUUUUUGGCUUGAGGAAGCAUCGUUAUGAUUGAGUAAGAGGAGGGAUGUGGAGAGUUAAACGCCGAUUUAUCUGGAGGAGUAAUUAAGUAGCUUUAAUUCGUCAUUAUAGCCAUUGCAGGCGUUAUACGGAGGAAAUAGGAAGACAGUGAGUUCUGGAGGUCUUCUUUAGACGUCGUAACAAAAUUAGGUUUGAGUAAGAAGAUGGCAAAACAAAUGGGUCAUUAAAGCUAAAAGGCAUAUUACGCAGCACAGAUUC
rnacentral:lncRNA from 1 species